AUGCAUCUGACAGACUUGGAACAGUUGCUGCUGCUGCUAAGGUUCCAGUAUAGAUGUAAGAAGAAGGAUGCUUGCACUUUCUGUCUGUCUGAUUGUGGCAGCCAACCUUGAAUGCGGGGAUACAGUA
rnacentral:snoRNA from 1 species